rnacentral:rRNA from 1 species
UACGAAGGGGGGCUAGCGUUGCUCGGAAUCACUGGGCGUAAAGCGCACGUAGGCGGAUCGUUAAGUCGGAGGUGAAAUCCUGGAGCUCAACUCCAGAACUGCCUUUGAUACUGGCGAUCUUGAGUCCGGGAGAGGUGAGUGGAACUGCGAGUGUAGAGGUGAAAUUCGUAGAUAUUCGCAAGAACACCCGUGGCGAAGGCGGCUCUCUGGGACGGUACUGACGCUGAGACGCGAAAGCGUGGGGAGCGAACAGG